rnacentral:lncRNA from 1 species
CGGGAUUUUCUGUCGUAGAUGUGCAUUUUUGGAACGCUGCCGGAGACAUGCGUUGAAGCAGUAAUUGCAGCCCAAGAUGAAUGCCCUGCUUUCAUGUUUCAUUUUUAAUGUUUUGCUGAGGAGCAAAAAGGGAAUAGAUACACCAAUAAUGAGGUGGGAUGCGACUCGACCAAGAUUAUGAAGCACCAGGUGUUCUCCUAUCAGUCCAUAUCUAGAAUGAAUAUACUGGGACGCAACACCUUUAAGCGCCUUUGAUGGAUAGCUCCUCAAUGCUGUGCUGCCUGGCUGACCUCCAACAAGGUUCUGCUCCACUCAUCAGAAGUCGUGAUGAAACUUGGUCAUUUUAACCGCUGCUGUCCUACAUCACCUCUGUCUUGUGUAUGCUUAAACGUAGAAAAGUCCUAAAGCAUUGGACCCAGCAGUGUUGGGAUUCUGUAUCCACCAUUGUCUCUGAAAUGCAGUGUGCAAACCAUUUUGUGGCAUCAAGAGUGUGUGGGCAAGAAAGCAGAGACUUAGCUUCUCCAGUUGAAACUCAAGGCAGGAUUUAUGCUUUCAUCCAGGAACCUAAAAACAGUCCUAUUCAUGUAUUCAGACGAGCUUGAAAACUUCUGCUUUAAACAGUGUUUGCACAGAGCACGGCUUUGACACGAAGACUGAGAUGCUGCUUCUCUCUGUGAAGACCGGUGAGUACUUGGACCCCUCUGUGUCUUUGCAGUCCAGGUGAAGGCAUUCACCUGUUAAAUGCCU